rnacentral:rRNA from 1 species
CUGCAGCUCAAGUGGUGACCACUAUUAUUGGGCCUAAAACGUUCGUAGCCGGUUUGGUAAAUGCCUGGGUAAAUCGUGUAGCUUAACUAUACGAAUUCCGGGUAGACUGCCAAACUUGAGACCGGGAGAAGCUAGAGGUACUCCUGGGGUAGAGGUGAAAUUCUGUAAUCCUGGGGGGACCACCAGUGGCGAAGGCGUCUAGCUAGAACGGGUCUGACGGUGAGGAACGAAGCCCUGGGGCGCAAACCGGAUUAGAGACCCGCGUAGUCC